UCUGAUCUUAGUUUAAGAUUGAAAUUGCAUUGGGUAGGUCUUAAGUGAUAGGAUUAAACAGUUGGUUUAAAUCCUGAAUUAAUACUACUUAUAGUGGAUUUCCUCCCUGGCUUGGUAGCCCCCAGACGUAGGUGUGUUUGUCACCGAACUGGAUAAACAAUUGUCUGUGUUAUUUACUGUCCUUUACAUUUACGUUCUGCAUCAUUCUUGUCUGCGCAGAAUUGGAUGUCAUAACAUCCAGUGUGACAUCGAAAGUCUGUUAACUAGAAUUUCAG
rnacentral:lncRNA from 1 species